GACGAACGCUGGCGGCGUGCCUAAUACAUGCAAGUAGAACGCACAGUUUAUACCGUAGCUUGCUACACCAUAGACUGUGAGUUGCGAACGGGUGAGUAACGCGUAGGUAACCUGCCUGGUAGCGGGGGAUAACUAUUGGAAACGAUAGCUAAUACCGCAUAAUAUUGAUUAUUGCAUGAUAAUUAAUUGAAAGGUGCAAUUGCACCACUACCAGAUGGACCUGCGUUGUAUUAGCUAGUAGGUGAGGUAACGGCUCACCUAGGCGACGAUACAUAGCCGACCUGAGAGGGUGAUCGGCCACACUGGGACUGAGACACGGCCCAGACGCCUACGGGAGGCAGCAGUAGGGAAUCGUCGGCAAUGGACGAAAGUCUGACCGAGCAACGCCGCGUGAGUGAAGAAGGUUUUCGGAUCGUAAAGCUCUGUUGUAAGAGAAGAACGGGUGUGAGAGUGGAAAGUUCACACUGUGACGGUAUCUUACCAGAAAGGGACGGCUAACUACGUG
rnacentral:rRNA from 1 species